rnacentral:rRNA from 1 species
AUUGAACGCUGGCGGCAGGCCUAACACAUGCAAGUCGAACGGUAACAGGAAGAAGCUUGCUUCUUUGCUGACGAGUGGCGGACGGGUGAGUAAUGUCUGGGAAACUGCCUGAUGGAGGGGGAUAACUACUGGAAACGGUAGCUAAUACCGCAUAACGUCGCAAGACCAAAGAGGGGGACCUUCGGGCCUCUUGCCAUCGGAUGUGCCCAGAUGGGAUUAGCUAGUAGGUGGGGUAACGGCUCACCUAGGCGACGAUCCCUAGCUGGUCUGAGAGGAUGACCAGCCACACUGGAACUGAGACACGGUCCAGACUACUACGGGAGGCAGCAGUGGGGAAUAUUGCACCAUGGGCGCAAGCCUGAUGCAGCCAUGCCGCGUGUAUGAAGAAGGCCUUCGGGUUGUAAAGUACUUUCAGCGGGGAGGAAGGGAGUAAAGUUAAUACCUUUGCUCAUUGACGUUACCCGCAGAAGAAGCACCGGCUAACUCCGUG